rnacentral:rRNA from 1 species
AUUGAACGCUGGCGGCAGGCCUAACACAUGCAAGUCGAGCGGAUGAAGGGAGCUUGCUCUCUGAUUCAGCGGCGGACGGGUGAGUAAUGCCUAGGAAUCUGCCCGGUAAUGGGGGAUAACGUUCCGAAAGGAACGCUAAUACCGCAUACGUCCUACGAGAGAAAGCGGGGGAUCUUCGGACCUCGCGUUAUCGGAUGAGCCUAGGUCGGAUUAGCUAGUUGGUGGGGUAAAGGCCUACCAAGGCGACGAUCCGUAACUGGUCUGAGAGGAUGAUCAGUCACACUGGAACUGAGACACGGUCCAGACUCCUACGGGAGGCAGCAGUGGGGAAUAUUGGACAAUGGGCGAAAGCCUGAUCCAGCCAUGCCGCGUGUGUGAAGAAGGUCUUCGGAUUGUAAAGCACUUUAAGUUGGGAGGAAGGGCAGUAAGUUAAUACCUUGCUGUUUUGACGUUACCAACAGAAUAAGCACCGGCUAACUUCGUGCCAGCAGCCGCCGUAA